rnacentral:rRNA from 1 species
GACGAACGCUGGCGGCGUGCUUAACACAUGCAAGUCGAACGGAAAGGCCCUGCUUGCAGGGUACUCGAGUGGCGAACGGGUGAGUAACACGUGGGUGAUCUGCCCUGCACUUCGGGAUAAGCCUGGGAAACUGGGUCUAAUACCGGAUAGGAGCCAUUUUUAGUGUGAUGGUUGGAAAGUUUUUUCGGUGUAGGAUGAGCUCGCGGCCUAUCAGCUUGUUGGUGGGGUAAUGGCCUACCAAGGCGGCGACGGGUAGCCGGCCUGAGAGGGUGGACGGCCACUUUGGGCAUGGGAUACGCCCCAAACCCCUACGGGGGGCAGGGGGGGGGAAUAUUGCACAAGGGGCGCAACCCUGAGCAAGGGACGCCGGGUGGGGGAUGCGGGCCUUCGGGUUGUAAACUCCUUUCCCUAGGGACGAAGCUUUUGGGCCGGUACCUAGAAAAGAAGCACCGGCUAACUACGU